rnacentral:rRNA from 1 species
UGGGGAAUAUUGCACAAUGGGCGCAAGCCUGAUGCAGCCAUGCCGCGUGUGUGAAGAAGGCCUUCGGGUUGUAAAGCACUUUCAGCGAGGAGGAAGGUGGUGAGCUUAAUACGCUCAUCAAUUGACGUUACUCGCAGAAGGAGCACCGGCUAACUCCGUGCCAGCAGCCGCGGUAAUACGGAGGGUGCAAGCGUUAAUCGGAAUUACUGGGCGUAAAGCGCACGCAGCGGUUUGUUAAGUCAGAUGUGAAAUCCCCGGGCUCAACCUGGGAACUGCAUUUGAAACUGGCAAGCUAGAGUCUCGUAGAGGGGGGUAGAAUUCCAGGUGUAGCGGUGAAAUGCGUAGAGAUCUGGAGGAAUACCGGUGGCGAAGGCGGCCCCCUGGACGAAGACUGACGCUCAGGUGCGAAAGCGUGGGGAGCAAAACAGGAUUAGAUACCCUGGUAGUCACGCUGUAAACGAUGUCGAUUUUGGAGGUUGUGCCCUUGAGGCGUGGCUUCCGG